rnacentral:rRNA from 1 species
UACGUAGGGUGCAAGCGUUGUCCGGAAUUAUUGGGCGUAAAGAGCUCGUAGGCGGUUUGUUGCGUCGGCUGUGAAAUCCCGAGGCUCAACCUCGGGUCUGCAGUCGAUACGAGCAAACUAGAGUGUUGCAGGGGAGACUGGAAUUCCUGGUGUAGCGGUGAAAUGCGCAGAUAUCAGGAGGAACACCGGUGGCGAAGGCGGCUUCCUGGUCCAGCACCGACGUUCAGGCACGAAAGCGUGGGGAGCAAACAGG